rnacentral:rRNA from 1 species
UAAAUCUCAAAUUAAGUAAGAAAACCCACUGAAUUUAAGCAUAUUAUUAAGUGGAGGAAAAUAAACUAACAAGGAUUCUUUUAGUAAUGGCGAAUGAACAAAGAAUAGUUCAAUCUAAAAUUAUUUAUAAUUUUAUUUAUAAAUAAGUUGUAGAUUUUAAUAUAAAUAAUAAUUUAUAUAUAAAAUAAUAUUAUAUAUUAAACUUAGUUGGAAAACUAGUCCAUAGAAGGUGAAAGUCCUGUCUAUAAUAUAUAAUAUAUAUUUAUAUUAAUUUUAAUGUAAUAGUUAAAAUAAAUUAUUAUUUAUAUAGAGUCAAAUUGUUUUUUAUUGCAAUUUAAAUUAGGUGGUAAAUUUCAUCUAAAACUAAAUAUAUAUAAGAGACCGAUAGUAAACAAGUACCGUGAGGGAAAGUUGAAAAGAACUUUGAAAAGAGAGUGAAAUAGUACUUGAAAUUGUUAAAAGGUUAACCAAAUAUUUUUAGUGUAUUUAUUAAUAAUAUAAUUAUAAUAUAAUAAUAUUUUUAUUUAAUAAAAUUUAUUUUUUAUUAAAUAAAUAUAAAGUAUUAUUAUAUUUAUUAUUAUUUAAUGUUAAAAUGAAUAAUAUUAUAUAAAAUAAAAAUUAAUAAUUUUAAUAAUUAUUAUUGUAUUAUUUUUAUUAUAUUUAAAUAAUAUAGUAAAAUAAUAUAUUUAAUUAUUAAUUUAAGAAUAAUUAUAAUAAUAUAAAUAGUAAUAUUUAUAUUAUUUUUAUAGUUAUUUUAUUAUUAAAUAAUAUUUUAUAUUAAUUAUUAAGGUUUAUUUAAUUUAAUAAUAUAAUAUAUUAUAUAUAAUUAUAAUUUAUAUAUAUAUAUUAUAUUAUUAUAUGAUUUUAACAAAAUAAAAAUAUUUGACCCGUCUUGAAACACGGACCAAGGAGUCUAAUAUAUAAACAAGUAUUAUAGUAAUUUUAUUAAUAUUAUAAAAACUAUAAUGCAUAAUGAAAGUAAAAAAAAAAAUUUAUUUUAAAAAUAAUAUUUUUAUAUAUUAAUUUAUUAAUAUAUAAAAUGCAUUAUUAACCAAUCUAAAGUUUAUUUUAGUUUUUAAUUAAAUUAAAAUAUAAUUACAAUGGAUUUGAGUUUUAGUUUAUAUAUUAGGACCCGAAAGAUGGUGAACUAUGCCUGAAUAGAAUGAAGCCAGAGGAAACUCUGGUGGAGGUUCGUCGCGGUUCUAACGUGCAAAUUGAUCGUUAAAUUUAGGUAUAGGGGCGAAAGACUAAUCGAACCAUCGUAGUAGCUGGUUCCCUCCGAAAUUUCCCUCAGGAUAGCUACAAUUAAUUAUUAUAUAUAAGAGUAUUUGGUAAAGCGAAUGAUUAGAGGUUUCUGGAAUUAUAUAUUCUGGACCUAUUCUCAAACUUUAAAUAAGUACGAACUAUUAAUUACUUAAUAAAUUUAAUGAAUUAAAUAGUUAAUCUAUAUUAGUUGUAAGUGGGCCAGGCUGGGUAAGCUAGUUUGGCGAUGCGGGAUCAACCGAACGAUAUGUUAAGGUGCCAAAAUAUUCGUUUAUUUUAGAUAUCAUAAAAGGUGUUAAUUCAUUAAAACAGUAGGACGGUGGCCAUGGAAGUCGGAAUCCGCUAAGGAGUGUGUAACAACUCACCUACCGAAUGAAUUAGCCCUAAAAAUGGAUGGCGCUUAAACGAAUUAUUAUAAAAUUUAUUUUAUAAAUCCUAUACAUAUCCAAUAAAUAUAAUAAAAAUUAUAAUAUUUAAAAAUUAUAAUUUAAAAUUUUAUUAUUUAUUGAGUAGGAGGGCGUAUUAUAUAUUAUGAAGUAUUAAUGUAAAUUAAUUAUAAUGAAAUAUAUUAUAGUGCAGAUCUUGGUGGUAGUAGCAAAUAUUCAAAUUAAAUCUUUGAAGACUGAAGUGGAGUAAGGUUCCAUAUUAACAUUGAUUGUAUAUGGGUUAGACGAUCCUAAGAAAACAAUGAAAAUAAUAAUAUUGAUAAUAGUUUAUAUAAUUUUAAUAAUUAUAUUAUUUUUAUUAAUAAUAUAAUUAAUAUUUAUAUAAAAUUUUUCAAAAGGGAAUUAAGUUAAUAUUCUUAAUCCAAAUAUGGAUAUUAUAUGGUAACAUAAAUAAUUUCAAAUAAAUUAAUAUUAAUACUAGGAAGAGUUAUCUUUUCUUUUUAACUAUAUUAAUUUUUAUUAUAAUUUUUUAUUAUUAUUAUUUUAUUAUAGUAAUAUAAUAAAAUUUAAUAAUAAAAAAAAUAAUAAAAUAUAUAAUACCUUGAAAUUUAAUUAUUAAGAGAAAAGGUAUUAAUAUAGUAAGAAUAUUUAUUAUAUUUAAUUAAAUAUUUAGUUUAUUAAUAAUAAUCCUUGAAAAUUUGAAUAAGAGAAUUAUAAUCAUAUUUGUUCGUACUAAUUACCGCAGCAGGUCUCCAAGGUGUAUAGCCUCUAGUUAAUAGAAUAACGUAGGUAAGGGAAGUCGGCAAAAUAGAUCCGUAACUUUGGGAAAAGGAUUGGCUCUGAAAAUUAAG